rnacentral:lncRNA from 1 species
GGUCGCCAUCUCCCCCGAAACCAAGGUCCAAGUCUCGGUCUAGGUCACCUAUCAAAUUCCGCCGAAGCAAGUCUCGGUCUAGAUCACCUAUUAAAUAUCGCCGAAGCAAGUCUCGGUCUAGGUCACCUAUUAAAUAUCGCCGAAGCAAGUCUCGGUCUAGGUCACCUAUUAAAUAUCGCCGAAGCCGGCGGUCCCGUUCUUUCUCCCCACCAGCUCGGUACUCCCGUGAUCAUAGGUCGCGGUCACCAAUAAGAUCUCACUAUUCGAGUCAGAGAACUGAAAGAUUAUACAGAGAUGAUCGCGACAGCCACAG